rnacentral:rRNA from 1 species
UACGUAGGUGGCAAGCGUUAUCCGGAAUUAUUGGGCGUAAAGCGCGCGCAGGUGGUUUCUUAAGUCUGAUGUGAAAGCCCACGGCUCAACCGUGGAGGGUCAUUGGAAACUGGGAGACUUGAGUGCAGAAGAGGAAAGUGGAAUUCCAUGUGUAGCGGUGAAAUGCGUAGAGAUAUGGAGGUACACCAGUGGCGAAGGCGACUUUCUGGUCUGUAACUGACACUGAGGCGCGAAAGCGUGGGGAGCAAACAGG